UACGCAGGGGGCUAGCGUUGCUCGGAAUGACUGGGCGUAAAGGGCGCGUAGGCGGAUUGUACAGUCAGGCGUGAAAUUCCCGGGCUCAACCUGGGGGCUGCGCUUGAGACGUGCGAUCUUGAGUGGGGAAGAGGGUCGUGGAAUUCCCAGUGUAGAGGUGAAAUUCGUAGAUAUUGGGAAGAACACCGGUGGCGAAGGCGGCGACCUGGUCCUUGACUGACGCUGAGGCGCGAAAGCGUGGGGAGCAAACAGG
rnacentral:rRNA from 1 species